rnacentral:rRNA from 1 species
CCUACGGGUGGCAGCAGUGAGGAAUAUUGGUCAAUGGACGCAAGUCUGAACCAGCCAUGCCGCGUGCAGGAAGACGGCCCUAUAAGUUGUAAACUGCUUUUGUACGAGGGUAAACGCAGAUACGUGUAUCUUUCUGAAAGUAUCGUAUGAAUAAGGAUCGGCUAACUCCGUGCCAGCAGCCGCGGUAAUACGGAGGAGUCAAGCGUUAUCCGGAUUUAUUGGGUUUAAAGGGUGCGUAGGCGGUCGGUUAAGUUAGUGGUGAAAGCCUGAGGCUCAACUUCGGAAUUGCAUUUGAUACUGUUCGGCUAGAGUGCAGUUGCGGUAGGCGGAAUGCAUGGUGUAGCGGUGAAAUGCUUAGAGAUCAUGCAGAACACCGAUUGCGAAGGCAGCUUACCAAGCUACUACUGACGUUGAGGCACGAAAGCGUGGGGAGCAAACAGGAUUAGAUACCCCUGUAGUC